rnacentral:rRNA from 1 species
GAUGAACGCUGGCGGUAUGCUUAACACAUGCAAGUCGAACGGUACCUUCGGGUAUAGUGGCGGACGGGUGAGUAACGCGUGAGAAUCUGUCCUCAGGUCGGGGACAACAGUUAGAAAUGGCUGCUAAUACCGGAUGUGCCGUAAGGUGAAAGAUUUAUUGCCUGAAAAAGAGCUCGCGUCAGAUUAGCUAGUAGGUGGUGUAAGGGACUACCUAGGCGACGAUCUGUAGCUGGUCUGAGAGGACGAUCAGCCACACUGGAACUGAGACACGGUCCAGACUCCUACGGGAGGCAGCAGUGGGGAAUUUUCCGCAAUGGGCGAAAGCCUGACGGAGCAAUACCGCGUGAGGGACGAAGGCUUUUUGGGUCGUAAACCUCUUUUAUUAGGGAAGAUUUCAGGACGGUACCUAAUGAAUAAGCAUCGGCUAGCUCUGUGCCAGCAGCCGCGGUAAU